rnacentral:rRNA from 1 species
GACGAACGCUGGCGGCGUGCCUAAUACAUGCAAGUCGAGCGCAGGAAAUCGACGGAACCCUUCGGGGGGAAGUCGACGGAAUGAGCGGCGGACGGGUGAGUAACACGUAAAGAACCUGCCCUCAGGUCUGGGAUAACCACGAGAAAUCGGGGCUAAUACCGGAUGGGUCAUCGGACCGCAUGGUCCGAGGAUGAAAGGCGCUUCGGCGUCGCCUGGGGAUGGCUUUGCGGUGCAUUAGCUAGUUGGUGGGGUAAUGGCCCACCAAGGCGACGAUGCAUAGCCGACCUGAGAGGGGGAGCGGCCACACUGGGACGGGGACACGGCCCAGACUCCUACGGGAGGCAGCAGUAGGGAAUCUUCCACAAUGGACGAAAGUCUGAUGGAGCAACGCCGCGUGAACGAUGAAGGCCUUCGGGUCGUAAAGUUCUGUUGUAAGGGAAGAACAAGUGCCGCAGGCAAUGGCGGCACCUUGACGGUACCUUGCGAGAAAGCCACGGCUAACUACGUGCCAGCAGCCGCGGUAA